CUGUGGUUUCUUUCCCUCCCCCUGUUCCAAUCUGGCUUAACAGCCCUGGGAGGGGGAGGGCCUGACCCUGGCCUGCCUGCCAACAUUUUGAGGGCCCUGGUGGCCCUGGGUCUCCCAUGGCUCUACUGGCCCCAAAGCAGGGCUAGGGCUGGGGGCUGCUGCAGGAAACCUUCUGGAUCCAAAAUGUUUAUAUGGGGGGGCUCAGAGAGGCGUAAUGGACCUGAUGGUUUUGCUGUUCAGCUAGCCCCCUCUGCCCAUCCUGGGGGCCCUGGGGAGAUAAUAGAGAGAGGGGGUCCUGGGUAGAAAUAGUGAGGGUGCUGGCUGCUACAGCCACGGGGUCCAGGGCCUGGAGACAAGCCUUUCUCAGCCACUUAUCCCCUUAUAAGUCUUUAUGGGUUGCAGCAAGUGGGGUUGAGGUCAAGGCAGAGAGGACCUAAGGGAGGCGGAGUCUGUCUUGAUGGUAAAUCUGGGCCUACAGGCCUUCUGUGUACCCAGUGCCCCAGGGGCCCCCUCACAGCCCUGCUGGAACCCCACUGGGUGAACUCAUCUGUUUGCUUGCUGUCUUCCCAGCUAGGAGGACUGGGGGAAGGGACCUGCCUGGCUGGCAAGCGUCAGGUGCUCAACCAUGUUGAAUAAGUAGAUGCACCGAGGGAGGAGGCCAGCGCCUGUUGCACUGGAGAAAGAACUGUUCGGUCUGAGCUUGAGGAUCUGAGGAACAGGGCCUGCCACAGGCCGGAGCUUCCAAGUGGAAGUCGAGGGGGUGCCCCAAGAAGGGUCAGAAGAAAAGAGGGUCCAGAGCCAGGCAUCACUCACCAGUUAUAUGACCUUCUGCAAGAGGCUGCCCUCCCCCGCAGACAGUUCACUCAUAGGUCAGUGAUGUCACUUCUCAGAGACACAAUGAGGCUGGAACAAGAGGUCCUGUGUGAAAGAUCUCGUGAACUCUCUACGCUCAUACUCCAUGAGGGUGGAAUGUUCUCCUUGUGAAAGUCCUUCCUGGCACCGGGCCAUAGUCUUUCCUGUUGCAAGACUGCCCUUCUUGGGCUCCAAUCAAAGCUUGCAACUUUGUAAAAGAUUGGAAACUCCUGAGAACAAGAAACUUUGCUGUGACUUAUUGCUGAAACCUCAGUACUUCAAUCAAUGCUAGACACCUAGAAGGCCCUCAAUAAAUAGAGAAUGAAUAAAUAAAUGAAAUGCAGUCAUUCUGU